rnacentral:misc_RNA from 1 species
AUCCUCCAAGCCACCACGUAUCUUCCAAGCUUUCUUACUCGAUCGAAGGAGAGUUUCUCUUCCCUUUUUCCUCUUUCCAAACAGUAAUCGAGAAAGAGUCCCUCCGAAACAAAAAUGGUGAGCGAUGAACCGAAACAGAGUCCACCGGAACAAAGGCACCCAGACCCUGUUGAAAGUGCCCAAAACGUUGAGGGUUUGUUCAGUCCUAGAUUUAAAUCUUUGGCUGCCAUGGCUGGUUGGGACGAAGAGUCCAUCCUUCUUGCCAGCCUUAUUGUGGAAGACACUCCUGAUCGACAGUUUAAGUACAAGAAACGCUCUGAUUUGCAGUUCAAGACUCCACCUUCCGCCAGUUCAAGAAGAAAACGCAGGGCUCAGAGAAAGAGUCCCGUUUCGGUUUCUGUCCCCGUUAUUGGCCUUGAGGAAGAAGAAAAACCUGAAAAACAAGAGAAUCAGAAAGAGAAGACAGAAGCGGAACCAAAAAUUGAAGCGAAGGAAGAGCGUAAAACAGAAGGAGAUGAAUUGAAGAAAGAGAAUUCUGGUGUUUCUUGCUCGAAUUCUGUCGUUCCCUGCAUGGAUAAGCUCAGAGAAGAGCUUUCUUGUGCAAUUUGUUUGGAGAUUUGCUUUGAACCAAGUACCACUUCUUGUGGACACAGUUUCUGUAAGAAAUGCUUACGGUCUGCUGCUGAUAAAUGUGGGAAGAAAUGUCCAAAGUGCAGACAGCUAAUAAGCAAUGGAAGAUCUUGCACUGUGAACACAGUUCUUUGGAACACAAUACAACUUCUUUUUCCACAAGAAAUUGAAGCAAGGAAGGCAGCUGGGGCCUUGAAUAGUAGAGAAGUAGAACGCCAAACCCCGGAAACAAGAAUCAACACUGAUGUAAGGAGCUCAAGCAUUCGGCCUUCCAGGACGUCAGUUUCCAGAAGAGAUGUAACUGCAAGGAGAAGAGACGAACUGAACCAAGAUGAAGAUUCGGCGUUGGCUCAAAGAUUGCAAAGAGAAGAUCUUACACGAUUAUUGAGCAGAGAUACAAGUGGAAGGAACAGAAGAGGGGGGAUACUGAGCCAAGAUGAGGAUGCUGAAUCGGCACAAAGCUUGCCAAGAGAAGAUCUUGCUCGGCUAUUGAGAAGAGAUGCAAGUGGAAGAAGAAGAAGAGGGACACCUAGCCAAGAUGAGGAUGCUGCACUAGCUCUAAGGCUGCAGAGGGAGGAGUUCAUGGAGGCCUUUGGAGGAACCCAUGCGCAAUCAGCAAGCUCUCUUUCCUUGGCUAGAGCAAACUUGAGAGCUAUGGCAUCAAGAGCUAUCAACAUACGUAUGAGAAGCCGGCCUACAUAGUCAGUUAUAUUGUUAGUUAAACCUGGGUGAACUAUCUUUCCCACAAUCCAAAUGUUUGUUUCUACUUUCUACUAGUAGUUUCUAUUUGAUGUAUUCUUGCACCAAUCUUUGGAAUCAGGUUCACCAUUGUCGUAUUCUUGUACCAAUCUUUGGAAUCAGAUUCACCAUUGUCCGUUGAGAGGACACCACCAAGCAGGACUUGAUGAAAUUCACGCUUCAUUAAGUUGGUAACACCCAGCAUGAGUUGUCUACAAGGUGCAACCAAAAGACUGGAGCUGGGAAUAAGUUGUGCAAUUAUGUUACAAAUGUUCCUAGUAUGUGCAAUUAUGUUCAACUUAUCAGAAGAAUCAUCUGUUUUUAAAAGUUAGCAUUUGAUUAGUUUAUGAUUGAGAAAGGUCAAUUCUUAUAUCAGAAAUAUCUAACCAUGUGCAAGCAAUUUUUUUUUUUGAAGGACCGUUUCUCUCUCUAUCAGGGGGCAGUUGUUUUCAUGUUUGGUUUUAUUGCUGCUUCUAUUACUAGAUCUUGGCUCCCCUCAGAGCUUGCCUAACAGCACCUUGGCUCCCCUCAGAGCUUAAUCAAUUAUUGUCCAUCAGACUUAAAAAUUUUAGUCUUUAACUUACCUGAAAAUAGACAACUGGUGAAUCCAACUGCAGAGAGGAUAAUGCAGAGACUCCAUAAAGAAAUUUCACAGUAAAACUACCCUAGAUAUAACCAUUACUACAAUCAUAACAUCUCAGUCUCAUCUGCUACAAAGCUACCUUCAGUUUUUAGGAGGAGCCUUAAUAAAUUUAGUCUGUUAAGUACUCUUACAAGUUACAAGUUAUUAGAUAUGGCAAGCAGAAGACUAUUCAUUCACCUGGCCUCAAUUUUCAUGAUUUAUACAAUGCUAGCACUGCCAGCUAUAUGUGAAGGCGCAGUGCCUGACCCAGCUCCAUCUCCUCACCACGCUCACUCUCUGGCGCCUGCCCCAUCUCAUACCAGAGGUACUAUUGCUGCUGGUGGUGACUGCUCUCCUCAUAUGUUUGCUACAACAUUAUUUGCUUCCUUAUCCUUCUUGUUGCCAUUGUAUCUCUUAAUCUUUUACUAGUCAUGGAGGAAAUAUGAUUACCUGUAUGUUCUGAUGUUUUGUGUAUACGUAAAAUAAAGGAAUGAGAUUUAAUCUAACAGCUCCAUGGGCUGGUGGUUGAGGCUGAAUUCCUCUGUUGGUACGGUGUCGGUUUUUCUCUAUUUUGUGAUUGUAUUAGAAUUAUUGUAAUAUAUGUUAUUUGUUUGCUAGAAAA